UGAUGAUGAUGAUAUGAAGUGAUACCAAAAAGUUCCUGAACUAAUUAUGUUUAAUAAAAAAUAACUUAUUUACUUAAGUUUUAAAAUCAUCUCCUUUGAAA